AAAAAUCAUCGAUCUUGAAGACAUGGAAAGCAACAAUUGCAAGGUAAACGACUUUUUCGAAUUUUAAAUAUGGAAAAACAUACUUACUCAAGCCCCUCCCAGAGUUUUUAAACUUUUGUUCGAAUGUUCUAUACCAAUAUUCGAUCCCAAAACUUGAUAAAAUUGAAUCCCUGGUUCUUGGUAAAUACAUUGUUCUUGAUUUCUCUAGUUUUGAUUCCAUGUUCAAUUGCAAGUGCUCCGGAUACGCCACUCUGUUUAAGAACUCUUAGCUAGAUGAUCUUGAAGUUUCGAUUGAACAAUAAAGAAAUACAUUGCUAAAGCAUCCACUGACCCUCUCCCAAAUCAACUAGGCCAAACAAUAUCAAUUUUGAAACCAGAAUUGUUGCUACCACUAUUCUUCCUAAAAGAGCUUCCUUUUCUACUCUGUCUCAGCCAGAUAUAUUCCUAGCCUACUUCUUACUCGCUAAAGACAGGGUCAAACUCUUGUCCUAGGUGAUUUACGUUAUGCUCGAAAGUGCUGAUGACCCAACUAGUCUCCCAUACAACAUGAUCAUCACCCGUCUAUUGGAAGCACAUCAAAAUCUCUCUCAAACCUUCCGUUCCUUCUCGUGCCUAAGUGUUAUAACUCUAUAGACUUUGUUAACAUGGGGUACAUAUCUACGGAAGGAAUAUAGGUGAAGAAGCAUGAGACCGAAGGCAAGACCAUAACAACCCACUCCAAGGCAAAAGCUUCAACCUCUCACUCAUUUGAUCCAGAACUCUCCGCAAGAUUGGUGGAGAGAUAAAAAAUUUAAAACUGUCAAGGAACUUCUUGCUGCUACCAGACAAUGGUGGAAGACAUCAGGGAAAUAUAAAAGGAAGCCAAAUCUGAUACCUCAAAAAUUCGAGUCAAGUUGGAACGAAUGGCACAGGAGCCAGUUGGUGCAUUCAGGGAAGUGCAUGACUGUAUUGAUUGAUGGAAUCUCAAUCAUCAUGACAGCAAACUAUCAUCAGGCUGAAAGACGCCAUCUAAUACACCUUACUUACUUCCUUUGUUGAUUUUGUAUGGUUGUUUUAACAAUUUAUAUUUUUUGGUAUGUUUUGUGGAUGUUCUGAACACUCAGUAGCUUAGUCGACUACAUGGUGCUUAGACUUAUGUUUUUUCUGAUCUUAGAUAAUUACUUAAGUCGGGUGCUUCCAUGGUUAAGUUAGCUACUUAUAUGCAUAUAUUAUUAUCUCUUCUGUACUUUUAUUUUUGUUGAUGCAAAAGAGGGUGAGGAAUUAUAUCAGGAGGAACAUCAAUUCAGGGGGAGCACAUACUCAAGGGGAAAAGAUCCACACGCUCAUGUCAGGGAAGUAUCAUAAGUUGAUCAUCCUUAAUUAAUGUUCAAAUUAUUAUCAUCAAAAGGAGGGAGAUUGUUAGCCUUGUUUUAAUAAUGACAUCACUUGUAAAAUUGCAGGAUCAUAUUGAUGAAGGACAAUUCACUUGUGCAAAAAGAAAAAGGAAAAAAAAGAAUGUCUGUCGCACGAGGAAAAGUAAGACAGUGGAUCAUAAGGAAAGAGAGUCAAUCAAAAGCUGGAAGUUAGCAACUUAACAAGGAAAGAAGAAUCCGAAGAAUCAAUCAAGAGCUGAAAGAUAGCGGCUUACAUGGUAAGAAGAAUCAAUCAUUCAAUAAGAAAUCCCGCCAGCACAAAUCAAGCAAUUGAUGGAGUUUAUUUACUAAGAAUGACCUAAUUCAAAGCAAUCCAGAAAGGAAGCAUAUAUGUGAAAAUUAAGCAGCAUCUUGGAAGGCUUCAACUUUAUUUUUGGAAUAUCUUUCAAAGACCAAAUCUCUUGGUUGUCAUCUCUCUGUCAGCAGUAGAUUAAGGAAAUUAUCUGCUGAAUAUUUAUAACUCCAACGGCCUCCUUCUGUGUAUUUAAAAAGAUGAAGUACUCCAUGAUAAGAUAUACUUUCAUCUAACUAAUAUCAAGCUCUUUGUUCUACUCUUAGCAAGCAUUGUAAUUUCAUUGAUUUACUGUGUAAAGAGAGAUAGAAAGAGAGGGGAAGCAUUGUAUCAAAAUCUUAGAGAACAAGAUAGUGACGUGCAAAGAAGUCACAAAACCCUCUUGUAACAAAGUUUGAUAAGGAGCCAUCAUAG
rnacentral:lncRNA from 1 species